AUUGAACGCUGGCGGCAGGCUUAACACAUGCAAGUCGAGCGGAGAGAGGUAGCUUGCUACUGAUCUUAGCGGCGGACGGGUGAGUAAUGCUUAGGAAUCUGCCUAUUAGUGGGGGACAACAUUUCGAAAGGAAUGCUAAUACCGCAUACGUCCUACGGGAGAAAGCAGGGGAUCUUCGGACCUUGCGCUAAUAGAUGAGCCUAAGUCGGAUUAGCUAGUUGGUGGGGUAAAGGCCUACCAAGGCGACGAUCUGUAGCGGGUCUGAGAGGAUGAUCCGCCACACUGGGACUGAGACACGGCCCAGACUCCUACGGGAGGCAGCAGUGGGGAGUAUUGGACAAUGGGCGCAAGCCUGAUCCAGCCAUGCCGCGUGUGUGAAGAAGGCCUUAUGGUUGUAAAGCACUUUAAGCGAGGAGGAGGCUACUUUAGAUAAUACCUAGAGAUAGUGGACGUUACUCGCAGAAUAAGCACCGGCUAACUCUGUGCCAGCAGCAGCCGCCGUAA
rnacentral:rRNA from 1 species